rnacentral:rRNA from 1 species
UUCCUACGGGAGGCAGCAGUGGGGAAUAUUGCACAAUGGGCGAAAGCCUGAUGCAGCCAUGCCGCGUGUGUGAAGAAGGCCCUAGGGUUGUAAAGCACUUUCAGUAAGGAGGAAAGGUUAUAGUUUAAUAGACUAUAGCUGUGACGUUACUUACAGAAGAAGCACCGGCUAACUUCGUGCCAGCAGCCGCGGUAAUACGAGGGGUGCAAGCGUUAAUCGGAAUUACUGGGCGUAAAGCGUACGCAGGCGGUUUGUUAAGCGAGAUGUGAAAGCCCCGGGCUCAACCUGGGAACUGCAUUUCGAACUGGCAGACUAGAGUAUGAUAGAGGGUGGUAGAAUUUCAGGUGUAGCGGUGAAAUGCGUAGAGAUCUGAAGGAAUACCGAUGGCGAAGGCAGCCACCUGGGUCAAUACUGACGCUCAUGUACGAAAGCGUGGGGAGCAAACGGGAUUAGAUACCCCGGUAGUCCACGCCGUAAACGAUGUCUACUAGGAGCUGGAAUCUUCGGAUGACUUU